AUGGCCACCCUUAGGCAGCUUGUAGGAAGAUGGUGCCUGGUGGACAGCAAAGGCUUUGAUGAAUACAUGAAGGAACUAGAAGUGGGGCUAGCUCUACAAAAAAAUGGUACAAUGGCCAAACCGGAUUGUAUCAUCACUUGUGACGGCAAAAACUUCACCAUAAAAACAAUACAGUUUUCUUGUGUCUUGGGAGAGAAGUUCAAAGAAACUACAGCUGAUGGAAGAAAAACUCAGACUACCUGCAACUAUACAGAUGGCACAUUGGUUCAACAUCAAGAAAGGGAUGAGAAAGAAAGCACAUAACAAGAAAAUUGACCAAUGGAAAUUAGUGGUGAAAUGCAUCAUGAACAAUGUCACCUGUACUUGGGUCUAUGAAAAAGUAGAAUAAAAAUUCCAUUAUCACUCUGGGCAGAAAUUAGUUAUGAGAAUGAACAAGCUCAGUUCAAUGAGCAAGUCUCCAGACUGCUUUUUUUUUCAUCACUGUAUUCAAUUAUCUUUAUCAUAAAUAUUUUACAUGCAACUAUUUCAAAGUGUUGGUUUAAUUAGGUUCCUCCCUUUGGUUAAUAAAUAAAUAUGUUCAUGCUAAAA